GCGCCCCCCACACACGCACACGCGCUCACGGAGCUGGCGGAGGAGCGGAAAGGAAGCAAGAAGUGAAAGUGAGCAACCUCUAGUGAAAGAAAAAGACAUGCACAGACAUCUCGGGAAUUGAUGCCGGUGGAGGCGAGGUGGGCGCACGCACGCGGCGCGUUCCCGGCAGCUGGGCGCGUGCUUGGCGGCCCCGCGGAGGAAUCGCCACUCUGGGUCAGGCGGUCGCUGGGAUCCCUCGGGUCCCCGAGGCCCAGCGGCGGCCAGGCCCCCUCCCCUUUCCCUGGUUCGCGCCGCCUCCGCCUCCUCUCGCCCCGGCCGGCACAGUGCUGGGCAGGCACCCAGCGGUGCUCGGAUGCGUGCCGGCCGAACCCCGCGGCCCCGGGCGCUGGCCAAGUCCUGCUGCUAGGCCCGGGCUUUAGCCCAGAGCCCGAAGGACCCUUAGCGUUUGAGCUCUUUCGCCCCCUCCCCUUCUCCACCGUCUGCACGGACUGCCCUUCCCGGCGGCUCCCUGGAACGCCAAAGACCCUGCAGUGGUCGUUGCUCAGGUGGCCUUGGCCAGAGCCCGUCUCCCAGAGAGAGAACCUCCAAGUGACCGUCCUGGGAGGCCAAGGGCCACUUGACUGGUGAGAACAGCUCCCAGACAGCGGCCCUGGGGCCUCGGAAGCCCCCUUCCCCCAUUCUUCCCUUCCAGAACCAGCUUUUCCAGCUCAGCAGCGGAGUCAGGUUUCUGGCGAGUGUGGAUUGUUUUCCACCCCUGGGGCUUGGGUGGGAAGAGUGAAGACAGGGAAGCUGGUUGCCCACGUAGUGUUCUGCCAUUCCCGCACCGCCUCCUGCAGAGGCGCCCCAGGGACCCUCGCAGCUGAAACAAACUCAGAAACCAGGCCCCGUCUCAACAAAAAAGGCACAGAUGCUGGGGUGCUCAUCGAGUCGGGCCUUUUGGACAGACAUCAGGUAGAAGCUGUGAAUAGUAUUGCAAGGGCUGCAGUCUGGAGCUCUUGGUGGGCAGUAAAUAGCACCAAUGUUUCUAAAGACACAGAGAAGGGCGUGGCUUCUUCCCAGGGGUGAGCAAAUUGGUGGCAGAGUUGGAUGACCCAUCCCAGACCUUGUCUCAGCUGGGUAAGGUUCCGGGGUCCUGCAGGGCGUCCCCUUCUGAGCUAGGAUGCUGAAAGAAAACACCUGUCCCAGGCCUCCCAGAACUCAUAGCCUGACGGGAGCCAGAGAAGUAAACAAUCAAAAUACGGUGUGCUGAGAGCUCCGGAGAGGCCUGAGGCAGGGCGGCAUCCCAGAGGAGAUGAAGUCGGACUGAAAAGGUGCUCCCUGCAAAGACAGAGUUGCGGGAGAGCAGGGCAGGCUCAGGAGGCUGCGGACCCCAGAGACCUCACAUUCCCAGGCUCUGCAGACUGCCAGGUUGUGAAGAGCUGGAGACACCAUCAAAAUGGAGGGAACGUCUGGGACUUGAGUGCUGGAAUGGGCUGGAAUGUUAGAGCUGAAGCCCCGCUGGAGCCGGAGUCUUUGCUGGGGCUGGGAUUGGAGGCUGCAAAAAGCAAAAAGCAGCAAGGUCGGCUGCAGGUCAUGGAGAGAGAACAAACGCGCUUCUCUGAAGGAUGGAAAAAUCGAUGCCCACGGAAGAGCGGAUGCAGGGAAGGUGUGGACAGCAGCGGAGGGGAGAAGACCAAGGGCGGGGGGAGUCAGGCGCCUGGGGUCCCUCCACUGCGGCACUGGCUGUUCCCCAUCUCCCAGAGCAAAGUCAGAGGCCAGUGUGGUCAGCACAGGCCCGGUGGUGUGGUUUUGGUUUUUCAUUAUUUUAUUCUGAUUACCAAAGCUGUGCAUGUUCAUGUAGAAAAUCAAAAUCACCAAAUCCAUCCCCAGAGGUAACCUCCCCGUUAAUGUGCAUAGUAAAUCCUUCCAGACUUUCUUCUCUGCACAUUGAAUGCACUUUUUAUUUUUGCAAAAAUAGGAUGUGCUCAACUGCUGUUUUUCAUCCGACAUUCUGCCACCAAGAUCCUUCUGUGCCGUUACCUGGUGAUCUGAUGGCUGCACCAUGAGUCAUCUUGUUGCGCGGUGGACAUGUGCACAGUACAGGGCUUGGGUUCAGGAACUUGGCCCCUUGGCUACGUCACGUCGGGCAGGUGGCCUCCACCCUCUGACCUUGCCAUCCUCCUCUGUGUGGUGGGGCUACUGCUGACUGCCUUACAGCCUUGUGGUGAGAAUUACAUGAGGCAAGAGGCAGAAAGUACUCAUUCCUUGCGGAGCACAUCAAAAAUAUUCCAUCCACUGCGGGUAUUAUUAUUUUUUAUCCUUAUGGUUAUACGGCUAAACCAUCAUUUACUUAGCCAACCUUCUGUCAUUGAACAUUUAAGCUGUUUAUUCAAAUUCCCUUAACGAAGAAGGCUUUAGUGAAUAUCCUUGCCGAGAAAUCUUUAACAAAUGCUCAAUUAUUAAUUUUGAGUGAUUUCUAGGAGAAAAGUUUUCCAUGUUAGGAAAGGUAUGCACGUUUUAGGACCAGUCUGUCUGCAUACUGCCACAUUGCCCUCCUGAAAAUGUUCUGAUGACACUGUGUGAGUGUCCUAGGACUGCCAUGACAAAUUAUCACAAAUUUGGUGGCUUAAAAUAACAGAAAUUUAUUCCCUUACAGUUCUGGAGGCUAGAAGUCCAAAAUCAAGGUGUCAGGUUUGGUUUUGUUUUGUCUUUUUGGGUUUUUUUUUUUGUUUUUUUGUGUGUGGGGGGCCCGCACCGCGUGGCUUGUGGGAUCUUAGUUUAGUUCUAGGGAUCGAACCCACACCCUUGGCAGUGAAAGUGUGGAGUCCUAACCACUGGACCACCAGGGAAUUCCCUCUCUUAGCUUCUGUCAGUUGACUCGUAGCCCCCUCACCCCAGUCUCUGCCUCUGUGGUCACAUCACCUCUUCCUCUGUCUAUUUUUUCCCCAUAUGCCUCUUACAAGGACAUUGUCCUAUAAUCCAGGAUGAUCUCUUCAUCUCAAGAUCCUUAAUUUAAUUAUAUCGGCAAAGACCCUUUUUUUCAAAUGAGGUAACAUUCAUGGAUUGUGGUGUUAGGACAUGCUCAUGGCUUCAGGGGGCUACCAUUCAACCCACACACACUCCUACCAAGGAAAGAGCGUCAUGUAAAAUUCCUUUUUCCCCUCACCACACAGGAUAUUCUAAUCUUUUUGAAAUGUUUAGCCAAUUUGAUAAGGUAAAAAGGAUCUCUUGCUUCAAAGUGCAUUCUGUUCUGUUCUUUUCUUUUCUUUUACUAUCAGUGAAGAGAAACGUAUUUUCAUCUGCUCGCUGGUCAUUUGUUUUUCUUAUUUUGCAAUUCUUAUUUCACAUGCUUGUUGGUCAUUUUUCUUAUUGUUUUACUGAUUCAUGUCCUUUGCUCAAUUCCUUGUUACGUAUUAAUUGUCUUCUUCUGCAUGUGUGAGAGCUAUUUGUACAUUAAGGAUAUUGAACCUUUAUUGUAUCUUGUAAAUAUCUUCCUAAUUGGUCACUUGCUUUGGGGAUUUUUUCAUGGUUCUUCAACGUACAUAACUUUUAAAUUUUUUUGUAGUCAAAGCUUCGAGAGCAUUUUACCAUCAGGCUUUUCCCACUGACAUUAUUUUCAUCUAGCGCUUUUACAGUUUCACUUUUAUAUUUAAUUUUUUGUUAUCUCUGCAAUUUAUUUUAGCGAUGGUGUAUGUUUAGGUGAAUUGCUUUCCCCCCUCAUUAUUGAACAGUUGUCUUAAUACCACUUAAUAAAUAGUUCAUAUUUUC